rnacentral:rRNA from 1 species
GUAGGGAGCGAGCGUUAUCCGGAUUUAUUGGGUGUAAAGGGUGCGUAGACGGGUUAGCAAGUUAGUUGUGAAAUCCCUCGGCUCAACUGAGGAACUGCAACUAAAACUGUUAAUCUUGAGUGCAGGAGAGGAAAGCGGAAUUCCUAGUGUAGCGGUGAAAUGCGUAGAUAUUAGGAGGAACACCAGUGGCGAAGGCGACUUACUGGACUGAAACUGACGUUGAGGCACGAAAGUGUGGGGAGCAAACAGGAUUAGAUACCCUGGUAGUCCACACUGUAAACGAUGGAUACUAGGUGUAGGGGAUAUUAAGUUCUCUGUGCCGUCGCAAACGCAGUAAGUAUCCCACCUGGGGAGUACGGCCGCAAGGUUG